GCCUCUACUGAACCUUGCAAC
rnacentral:miRNA from 1 species